rnacentral:lncRNA from 1 species
AUGUGUUAUCCUCUGGGUCUCACCCCUUUGGGACACGAUUUUACUGCAGGAGGAUGCCCCCCUUUCAGUGGGGAGAGCUGGACUUGCACUUCAUUUGCCAUAGUGCGUGCCAAGGCCAGUGGCAGUGCUGGUGCUCUGGAGGCUGAGUGCCAGCUGCUGCAGCUGCCCCACUGCACCCUGGCUUUAUAUGGGCUGGGGGCGGGGCCCCUUAAGGGCUUUGCUGAGCAGCAACAGGGCUUGGCACCUAGCUUUUCUGGGAACCUACAUCUUUUUGACCAGUUCUCUCUUAGAAGAAUGCUUUCUUCUUAUUCCCUUCAUCUGAGAGGUGAAGAGUAUUCUUACUUUCUUUCACAGAAGGAAGGGGAAAGGAUCAAGCUCAGGGGAAUUAUUUUUCUCUCCAACUAUACUAUUUAUCCACCAAGUAUAUGCGAUGCACUUACAAUGUGACAGGUUCUCUGUCGUGUACUGGCAUGACAAAGAGGGCAAGAUGAGAUCUUCAAGACAUCAGCUGUCUUUCUUCAGAGGCAAUUACGAAACAAAGUGUUAUGUCUUUGUCUCAGUCUUUGCAACUGUAAGCAUUUAUACUAAGAAAAUAAUUGAGGAUAUUCACAGAGAUUUCUGCAAAGGGUGGUAAUCAUAUAUUUCUCUCUCUUAUUUUUUGAAAGUGAAAGUCACAGAGUCGUGUCCGACUCUUUGCAACCUCAUGGACUGUAGCCCGCCAGGCUCCUGUCCAUGGAAUUCUCUAGGCCAGAAUCCUGGAGUGGCUAGCCUAUCCCUUCUCCAGCGGAUCAUCCCAACACAGGAAUAGAACUGGGGUCACCUGCAUUGCAGGUGGAUUUUUUACCAACUGAGCUACCAGGGAAGCCCAAGUACCCCCAAAAUAGAGAGGGAUAGUUAAAUAAAUUAAGAAAUAUC